rnacentral:rRNA from 1 species
CUACGGGACGCUCCAGUGAGGAAUAUUGCACAAUGGGGGGAACCCUGAUGCAGCAACGCCGCGUGGAGGAUGACGCAUUUCGGUGUGUAAACUCCUUUUAUAUGUCAAGAAAAUGACGGUAGCAUAUGAAUAAGCACCGGCUAACUCCGUGCCAGCAGCCGCGGUAAUACGGAGGGUGCAAGCGUUACUCGGAAUCACUGGGCGUAAAGGACGCGUAGGCGGGUGGGAAAGUCAGGUGUGAAAUCCUACAGCUUAACUGUAGAACUGCACUUGAAACUUCUAAUCUAGAGUAUGGGAGGGGGAGAUGGAAUUAGUGGUGUAGGGGUAAAAUCCGUAGAUAUCACUAGGAAUACCUAAAGCGAAGGCGAUCCCCUGGAACAUUACUGACGCUAAGGCGUGAAAGCGUGGGGAGCAAACAGGAUUAGAUACCCGCGUAGUC